AACUUGACUGAACAUGAAAGUUUGCUGUUAAGUGGCAAUAACUAACAGAGGACAAAUCACCAACAGAAAGGAAAGAGAUACCAGGGAGUGUCAGGAUCGGGAAGACUCCGCUUGGUGGAAUAGCUGUUCUCCCCAAAUUAUCUGGACAAUUACGAACUUCCCAAUAAAAACUGUCAUUGUUUUCUUUCCACUGGACAAGGGAAUUCUAAAAUUAAAGAGCUUAACAAAGGGCCCCGAAGAAGUGUAACAAGGUGGCAACGGCCCUGCUAGAUAGAUAUCAAGAUGGAUCACCGAGCCACACUAUAGAAAACUGGUGCUGUGGCUCCACUGGGGACCUGAAUAUGGCAUCGGCCACCAUCCUACACACACAUCGACACUUCAUAAGGGAGGUGGCCUGACAGAUAAAGUGGGGGAAAGAAGGCAGUUUUUAUAAAUGAGUCUGAAAAAUUGAUCACACACACACACACACACACACACACACACACACAGCCUUGGGAAAUUAUUCUAAAUUAGGUAGAGGAACAACCAAUGUAAUGGUAAAAAUAUGAGUUCUAUAUUACACUUAAUGUCUCUUUAGAAAGGAUACUAUACGAAAGAGAUGUGCAGCACACAUAGUUGGCAAAGCAUGCCAUCCACAAUAUAUAAAGAUCCUUGCAAUAAAGAAAAACAAACCAAUAGAAAAGCUUGUAGAUGUCACCCAUAGGAAGUUGUGUGGUGUCAUAGCAGACGUGAACGGGGAGGAACAUUCAUAGUGGCAGUGUUUGUAUAACAUAUGAGCAAAAGCAAAACAUCCCAAAUGUUCACCAGUUACCAAUCAGUGAAAGAAAAUGUGAUAAGUUCUUACGAUGGGAGAUGCAGAGACCAUUGCCAUCCAGGCACACCUGUGGGAGUGAAUCCUGGGAAUUUUUCCUGAACAAAGCAAGUGGCAUGAAAUUCAGUGUAAUUUCAUUUUUGUGAAGGUCAACAACGCUCAAUAUGAAAUGUAUGGUUUUUAAGGUUACAGCAUGUUGUUGAAAAAGAAGACGUGUAAAGGUGAGACAAGCUGAGUGUCAUCGUAACAAGAAGGCAGCUGACAGUCCACUUCCAAUGUGACUCUUUUCUCCAGAUGAUACUUCCGUGUGACCCAAGCCAGUGAGGUCCCCAGAAACCCAGACUGAAUUCCGUAUUAUCUGAUAGAACGUCUUACACUUGGACUCAGAGACUCAGGACCCCCAUGGGGACCCUGAAGGUUCCUAGAACAUGGUUGGUCACGGGUCUCUGAGGAUGAGCUACCACGGACGCCGUGAGACAGAACCUGCGUGCUGGCAGGUGCACACUCCCAGGCUCUCACAGAUCACCCCGGACAUAUGUCAACAUCUAUGUUCUUAUUCGUGGUUGUGUGAGGACACCUGGUGUCUGAGGGGAGAAGGGAGGAUUAGGCUUUUGAGUAAUGGUGUGUCUGCUUCUGCCAGUACCCUGCUGAUGGUGGAUUUUUAUUUGUGUUUUUGUUUGUUUUUUAGUAUAUUCAAGCAUGAGGAAUUGGAAACAAAAGAUAAUCAGGAGAAAAUGUAGUUUGGAUUAUUUUAUUCUACUCAGACCCACAAAGUAGAGACAUGCAAGAAAUAUCAGUUGAACACAGAAAACAAAGAAGAGGGAAGGAUGCAAGUGGUUAAUAGUGACCUGACCGGUGACUCUGACUCCUUAGCUUCAAUGGAUAGCACCGUGCUGGCCACCAGCAGGGCGGCCAGGAAACAGCGUCCCAGGCUGUGGCUCAGGAAGGGGCUGUUGCAGGUGGGACCUCGCUCCGGUCCGUGUGCUCUGUCAGCUGUCCCACUGCCCACUCAACUCCAUUCCCACCUAGUCUGGAGACCUCCCAGCCCAGGAGAACACCGUGCGGAUCGUGUCCUGCUGGACAGACUGAUCCUCUCCUCCCACUCCCCUCUGGCCUCUCACAGAAGCUGGGAUCCAGCUGAACCAGUGCCCCCGGCCCCUCUUGGCCACCUUAACUGCACAUGUAAUUCAAACGUUCACUUCUGGUCUUCACACAGGCUCAGCCUGCACACAUCUCCUUCUUCUAUUAAAGGUCUUUCCCUACACCUGGCUGCUGAAGCAAGAAUCAUGAGAGUCACUACUGAAUUCUUCUGCUCCUCCCUGUGCUUUGUGGAACCUGUUAGCAAAGCCUCCAUAGGCCCCCCAACCUGCCCCAAUAUUCCUCCUAUUUCUCUACCACCUUCUUGUCCACACUGACCGUGAGUCCACAUCGUCAUUUCCAACAUGGACGUGACCGAUUCUAACCAGUCUUCCUAGGGGAUUAAGUUCCUACUGUAGCUGUAACAAAUUACCACAAACUUAGUGGCUUAAAACAACACAAUUUGUUAAUCUUAGUGGGCUUUUAAAAACUAUUUAUUUAUUUAUUUAUUUAUUUAUUUAUUUAUUUAGAGAGGGGAAGGGGCAGAGACAGAGAGAGAAUCCCAAGCAGGCUCCACACUGUCAGCACAAAGCCCAAAAUGGGGCUUGAACCCACGAACCGUGAGAUCAUGACCUGAGCCGAAACCAAGAGUCGGAUGCUUAACUCACUGAGCCACACAGGUGCCUCAAUCUUAUUGUUUUUAUUUUACUGUUAGGUUAGAAGCCUGACAAAGAUAUCUCCAUAGGGAUCCCCCAGUAUAAUCUCCCUAUUUGAAGGCCCACCCAUUGACAAUCUGAAUUCCCCAUUGCUAUGCCCAGUCCCAUGUUCACAGGUGCUGGGGACCAGGGUGUGGACAUCUUGGGGCAUCACACUUCUGCCUACCACACUCAGUUUCCAUUGUCUCCUCUCUCUGGGGCCUUCUCCACCCGGCAAGCACAGCCAUACCACUUUAAAUGAGUCUGAAUAAUUGCUCAUACACACAACACACACACACGCACGCACGCACACACACACACGCACAACACACACAUAUACACACACACCCCUUAGGGAACCUACAGGAUCCUGGACAGCUCCAGGCAGGCAGCAGCAGCAGAACACAGGAAAUAAUCCACAUGAUAUCCCUGGGGUAGGUGUGUCUGAGGGUGGGGACCUGCAGGGAGGCAGGAGGGCACCGUGGAGCUGGGCACUGGUGCCCAGGGAGGAAGCAGGACUAUGCCCAACAGAGAACACAUCUCUCUGCAGCAGCUGUGCACGGAGGGUCCCCUGGGCCAGUGUCUUGGCCCCAAUACCUAACGUGCACUAGGGUGUGGAAUUUGCCAUCUGUGCCCCAAACGGGUGAGAUUGGGGUUGACAGCGACAUCCAAGGGAAACUUUUAAUUCCAAACUCAAAAGCCUGUGCCUUGAAAAUAAGAAAACACCCAUGCAUUCCUUAUUAAAUCCCCAGGGCAACACUACCCACAUUUAAAUUAGCAGCAAGUUGAAGCACCUGGGUGGCUCAGUCAGUUAAGUGCAUGACUACGGCUCAGGUCAUGAUCUCACGGUUUGUGAGUUCAAGCCCUGCAUUGGGCUCUGUGCUGACAGCUCAGAACCUGGAGCCUGCUCUGGAUUCUGUGCCUCCCUCUAUCUCCACCCCUCCCCUGCUCAUGCUAUAUCUGUCACUCCCUCUCAAGAAUAAAUAUUAAAAACUUUUUAAAUAAAUAAAUUAGCAGCAAGUUCAGUCAUCUCCCUGGUUACUCGCCCACAGUGGACUUGCAGGCACACAGAGUGGCCAACAAGCACCCUGCAUCCUCUCCUUUGCUCAGCAGCUGCCAUGUCCUGGCAGAUGAUUGAUAAUCACAACAGAGAGUCUGGUCCCAUAGCACAGACUGGUGGGGACAGAGGUGGCGAUAACCACUCUGAGGACCUGGGGAUCAGAAAGCUGGGCACACAGCGCUGCCCAGGUGUGAUGGAGACAAAGAACUGAUGUAGGACUGGGUUGGGGAUCAGAAUUGAGGUGCCUUACCUGGAAGCACUAAACUGGGAAGUGACCAUAGUUGCAGGGAAAGGCUGGAUUCUCAAGAGGGAAACCUCUCAGGAAUUGGAAGGAAACCUCUCAGGUACAGGAGCUAAGUGGGCAGCAUACCACGUGUGUGCCCAUCAUCUAACCACUCCUACCUCCAGAAAUGAUGGUCUCUCCUCAAUAGAGCCCAGACUCACCUGUGCUCCCUCACCGCCCGCGCUUGAAGAGACGCUGGCAUCUCAUUCCUGCACUGCAGGGAGGGGGAGGCCGAUUUCCCCACAGACAGCCCAGGAAUGGUGUCCUGCAGAACAAGGUCAGGCAAGACCUCACUCUCCCAACAACCCGGAGCCUGAUCUGGUCUUUAUGGUGGAGCCUGGACGCCACCUGCUCUCUCAGGCCCUAGAGAUCCUGUGCUAGGAAGAAUGCCACUUCUCUCCUGACUCUUCCAGCUAGGAAGGUUCUUAAAAUACCCAGGAGGACCUGUGUCCCACUUGGAAAACCCAGUCUGGAAUGUUCCACAGAAGGCCUAUCAAGGCCGAUGUGCACAGAUCUUAAGUGACAGGGCCUUUAGGGACACAGGCUCACAGUCAUUUUCCCCAGGGCCCACAUGUGGUGCUGGGGCAUCUGGGCCCUGAGUGUCCAGUCUACAAGGCCCACUGUCCCUGGCACCAUCCCUUCUCCAAUGACUUGGGCCUGGGGUUGUUUCCGGUUACAAGUCCAUGUGCCACAUCCUCCAAUGUGAGGUUCUUCUCUGGGGACCCUGUUUAGGGUCCCAAGAACUACACCAUGAGCAAAUCUAAAGAGUAUUUGAGGGUUGGGCGUUGUGGCAAUGUAAACACUUGCAUUGGUCAGGAGAUGGAAAUGGUCAGCAGGAGUUCAGGCAGGAGCGUGAGUGCCCUCUGGUGGAUGGUUCCUGCUGCUGGAAGAGCAAACAGGGCCCUGGACAGGAGACGGGAGGGCUCAGCUUGGACAAAGGGCACAUUCAGGUUCAGAAGGAGGCAUAUUUAGAGGGGAAGAACUUAUGGCUGCCCGUGGCUCAGCAGCUGGAAGACUGGUUUUUGCCAAGGGUGUAACCACAAAUCAGGACACCACUGGGUUAUAUUGCCAGGUUGGCUGAGGGAAAUUCUGUAGACAUUGGGAUGCAAAAACAUACGUGACCGCACAUUGAUAUGUGAUGUCAUUAGACACGUCCUCUGAUGUUCUCAGCAUCCUGAGAGGCAUCUUAGCCAUGAAUGAAAAGUCAUACUAUGGAUUUGGAAGAAAUAUUAAGAAGAAAAUUAUAUCAUAGGAGCUUCUCUCAGAAUCAUACAGCUUGGCAUCACUUCUUAAGGAUGAAUUUACACCCCCCAAAAUGGACUUAAUUGGGGACUGGCUGGAGUUGGGGUUUCAUUCUCAGCACCUGUGGGCUGACACCCUGCCCUCUAACCCUGUGCCCCUCUCUGAACCACAAGAGUCUCUGAUGCUCCAUCAUUAAGGGGUGAGUUCCUUUUAGUGUCCUCAGCAUUCACCUGUCCACCUCCGCACUCUGCAGGCGGAGAUGGGCCGGACUAUCCCUGCACAGGCUCGGGCCGCUGGUUGGCACGUAUGGGGGCAGAGCCGGGCACCUCCUUGUGGCUAAAUCCCAACCACCACCAGAGCCCUGAGCUCCUGGUCUCUGGCUGGGUCCAAGGACAUCGCGAAGUUCUGGAAAUUGAAUCCCUCCCAGAAGACAAGAACCUAGCACUCAGCUCUCACUGGCAGUUCCUUGGAGCUCCAGACCACAGCUCACACCGGUUCUGCCCUGAUCCCAUGACGACCCGCCAAGAUGUGGCCAGAUGGGACACACCAGUCCCAGCAUAUGGGGAUCACUUUGGCUCAGAAGUGCUUUCCCAUGAGGCUGCUUGAUGCUAUAACGGGGCCCUUCUCUCUAACACAAAGAAGGUUACAUGAGGUGCAGGGUUUGAUUGGUGGGGGCCUCUGAGAGGGCCCAGAUCCCUGUGUUAUGGAGGCUGUGCUGGGGCAAUGGGAAGACAGAAGACAAGGUUUGUCAAGGUACCAGCCGGGAGAGCAGCAUGCAGAGCCAGGGUGCAAUCCAUCCAUGACUAAGUCCCUUGUGAGAAAUGGGGCAGUCCUGUCCUUAUGCCCAGUGGCUACUCUGAAUAGACACUACUUCAGCAACAGUGUCUUAGAGGAUGAGAUGGCAGCCAGGCCAGAUAUCCAGGCAUCCCCGUCUGUGCCAGAUGACAUGCGUCAAUAGACAUGCGUGAAAUGGAUAAGAGAAACCACACCAUAAAGCAUGUCACCCCCACAUGACACCUGGGGGUCAGAACCUGUUCCCUGUAGACACAGGGGCACUGGUAUCUUCAUGGGAGGAGGCCAACAAGUACCCGAGGCUGUCCCAGGGACAAGCCUUCACUCCUCAUAGAUUCAGGAGUGAGGACAGAGACCUCCUAACAGUGAGCAUCUGACACCAUUCACUCACAGAAAACAGACAUCCCCCACUCCAUCUCUACCUUGUGAGCCACUUCACCUAUCCCUGGAGAUCCUGGGCAGCCUGUGUCCUCAUCUUCUCUCAGAGACCUGACCUCAGGUGCAGUUACCACCAGGGGAAGUCAGAGCCCCUCUCUGAACUCAAGGAAGUCAGGAGGUGACUCCUCCUCCUUAGGGUCUCUGAUCUGUGGGGAUAUGUGGCUAUGGUCUGCUGAAGACAUCUUACCACCCCAAGGUGUCCUGAGAAGUGAGAGGAACUUGCCGUGCAGGAUGGAACAGGAGAACCCAGGAUCUGAAUUUGCUUCCAUCUCAGCGGGGCUGAGGCUCCCACAGAGGCCUCCCCUUCCCUAGCAGAGGAACCCUCGAGACUCCCUGGAUGAGUCUCCAGGUGGAGCUGCUCUAGCUCCUGCGUCCUAUGGGGGAGCCUAGAGCAAAGACAGGGACAUAGGUGACUUGAACGCAACAGGCCCCAGUGCUGUGAUGGGGGAAACAGGGAAUUCUGAGGUGUAUUCUCCCCAAAGCCCCAAGAGACUCUUCACUGGCCCUUCCUUUGGAACUCUGGGAACAGAGACCACCAUCAGAGGCAACAUAUCCCCUUGGAUGGAUGGUUCUCCUGACAUUGGAUCAGGAAUCUUCUGGACAACAACUGUCCUCUCCCUGAGUUUACCCUGCACUGGGAUGGACUCAGGAAGCCUGGGACCCACAGGGACCAGGACCUGGGCUGACCAGCCCCUCAGCCUGGAGGUCAGAGCCCACCUCUGCCCAGGGCUCAGGGCCCACACAUCCUUUGGAGCCUGGUUAGCAUCUCUGGUGCAGCCCCCAGCAUAGCCUCCAGGGGGCAACAUUGGGACACGAAGACAACACAGAGGAAAUUAACACAUGAAGUUGGUUUUAGCUAAGAAGGUGGAAAAGGAGCUUCACUUCUAUCCCCGUUCCAACAGACACUUAUGGGGUCCCUACCAUGUGCCUGUUCUGUCUUGUCAGCUCCUUCCCGAGGCCUCUAAGGACUCUAUUGUCAAGUGUCCCUGUGCAGCUCCCCACUCCCUGCCUUGUGCCAUCCAUGGGGAAAGGCCAGUGACUACAGGAAAGUCAGCCAGGCAGGGAACAGAGGCUGCCCAGGAUGGUCAGAGGCCUAAACGAUAUUCUACUGUGUUUGUCUUAAUUCAUUGAUGGCAUUUGGGUUGUUUCCAUAUUUUGGCUAUUGUGAACAAUACUCUUUGAACAUGGGUGUACACAUAUUUCUUUCAGUUCCUGCUUUCACUUCUUUUGUGUAUAUACCCAGAAGUGGAAUUACUGGAUCAUAUGGUAUUUUUAUGUAAAGUUUUUUUCUGAAAAUCACCACCAUGGCUACACUAUUUUACUGUCCCGUCAAAAACACACCAGGCUCCAAUUUCUCCACAUCCACUCCAGCAUUUGUUGCUUUCUGGGCUUUUUUGAAAAUAGCCAUUCUAAUUGGUGCGAGGGAGUACCUAAUUGUAUUUUAAAUUUUUUUAAGUUUAUUUACUUAUUUUGAGACAGAGAGAGAGAGAGAGAGAGAGAGAGAGAGAGAGAGAGAAUGAGCAGGGGAGGGGCAGAGAAAGAGGGAGAGAGGGAGAAUCCCAAGCAGGCUCCACACUGUCAGCACAGAGCCCGAUGUGGGGCUUGAAUUCAUGAACUGCAAAGUCAUGACCUGAGUCAAAACCAAGAGUCAGACACUUAACCUACUGAGACACCCAGGAGCCCCUCAUUGUAGUUUUGAUUUGCAUCUCCCUCACAAUUGGUGAUGUGGAGCUGCUUUUUAUGUGGUUAUUGGCCAUCUGUAUACCUUCUUUGCAGACAUGUCU